UACGUAGGCAGCAAGCGUUGUUCGGAAUUACUGGGCGUAAAGAGUGUGUAGGCGGUGCUCCAAGUCUGGUGUGAAAUCUCCCGGCUUAACUGGGAGGGUGCAUUAGAAACUGGAAUGCUAGAGGAUGGGAGAGGUAAGCGGAAUUCCUGGUGUAGCGGUGAAAUGCGUAGAUAUCAGGAGGAACACCUGUGGUGUAGACAGCUUACUAGACCAUUUCUGACGCUGAGACACGAAAGCGUGGGUAACAAACAGG
rnacentral:rRNA from 1 species